rnacentral:tRNA from 2 species
GGGCGCGUAGCUCAGUUGGUUAGAGCGCCUGCUUCACACGCAGGAGGUCCACGGUUCGAGUCCGUGCGCGCCCACCA